CCUACGGGUGGCAGCAGGGGGGAAUAUUGGGCAAUGGAGGCAACGCUGACGCAGCAACGCCGCGUGAAUGAUGAAGGUCUUCGGAUUGUAAAGUUCUGUGAUGGGGGAUGAAAACAAUGACGGUACCCCAAUAGCAAGCCACGGCUAACUACGUGCCAGCAGCCGCGGUAAUACGUAGGUGACAAGCGUUAUCCGGAAGGACUGGGCGUAAAGGGUGCGUAGGUGGGUGAGUAAGGUGGCGGUGUAAUUCCGGGGCUCAACCCCGGCGCUGCCGCCGAAACUAUUAGACUAGAGUGCCGGAGAGGUAAGUGGAAUUCCUAGUGUAGCGGUGAAAUGCGUAGAUAUUAGGAGGAACAUCAGGGGCGAAGGCGACUUACUGGACUAUAACUGACACUGAGGCACGAAAGCGUGGGGAGCAAACAGGAUUAGAUACCCCUGUAGUC
rnacentral:rRNA from 1 species